GGACUAGUAGACAAGUGGAUAUGUCAUAGCUUUUUCAAUGCUAAUAUCGCGGGUUCGAAUCCUGCCUAGUCUA
rnacentral:tRNA from 3 species